AAGACAACAACAAAAGGAAAACGUAAAACAAAAAAAAAAUGGUUGUCUCGACAGCAAAAGUCGAUUCGACAACAUAGAUCAGAUUCAGUCGAAGAUGGAUCAGACAACCUCUAUUUUCGAAUUGGAAAACUCAGAGUAAGAUCCAUCAUCAAUUUGUAAAAGCUGGAGUUUCCGAUGGCGUCUUCAAUUGAUAAGUGAGGAACUCGAAUGACGAACACUUACCUGUGAGUUUUGGAUUUCUUUUUCCUUGCAAGUAGGGAAAAAAUUCCGUCUACAAUGGAUCACUAAGGGUAACAUUACUUUCAGUAAAAUUAUAAUUGGGGAACAAAUGUGUUGAAGGUUGACUUAGAAGAAAGCAGUAAUUUGGAUAUAUUUUCCCUUGCAAGUAGUUUACGAAUUAAAGAUAAGAUACUGAAUCUUUGUUUAGUUUUUUUCAUACUGUAUUUUCCAUUAAAAUCAAGUCUAAUGUGAAUCUGGUUUUAUUUUUGUCAGGUUAAUUCCUGUUACAGGGUUACAUAAUUUAAACUUUGAAAAUAGAAGUGGAAGAGUAAAGAAGCAAUCUAUAUGGGGCUAUACUGGUUAUUUGAGAUUCUGAGCAAUGAAUAAUAAAAGUGUCUGAUAAUGCAUAUAUUGAUUCUUGUAUUUAGUCAAGUUGAAGUACAUAACUGAAGUAAAAAACCGUAACUAAGAACUGCUAUCACCACAAUGUGUCUUUAAGCAGAAGGAAGUGUUUCUGUUGGAGCAACCCGGCGGUGUAGAUUGGUGAUGUUCGUGAGAACAGCUAUUGAAGAUCUCUGAGUCAAUCCGGAGCUGUUAUUUUCAAUUGAAUGCAUCCCCAAGAAAGAACUUGAACCUGGAUUGGACUGUUGAAGAGAUGUUGGUGUCCUAAAAUUACCAGUAGAAGAAUGACCAAGGCUAUUUUGCCGUAUGGUGGGAUUAUGAAUUCCAGUGAAACAUGCGGUCAAGAUAUCUACAAAGAAGGAUUUUAUCUUCACAAAUCUGAGGACACAGGUGAUGAUGCUUCCAUCAGAGUCUUGACACGUAUGUAAAUACGUGCCCGGCCAAUGAACCCCACAAGGGACGAACAUCUUUCAAGAAAGCAAAAGUAGAAGCCAUAACUUGGGUGACUACUUACCCAGUGAAUGCUUGUGUAUGAUCUUCGUUUUAGAGAUUUGGAAAUCAAGCAGGUGUAACAAUGAUCUCGCAGAAGAUCAUCAUGAAAGGCAAGUAAAAUCCUUCUAUUUUCUAUAUAUUUUUUGAAGAUAAACGAUUGGGGGGGGGGAAUAUUUCAGGGUUUUGAGAUUUUACAAAAAUAUUUGUUUGGGCUUGUUAAAAAAUAAAUUGUAAUCAUGGAGCUCAAAUUUACAUUUCAACUAAUAAAGAGAGUGGCAGGGUUGUAAAUAA